AGGGGUCUUUCUAAAAAAUCUGCAGACCUUGUCCGACCGUUGGAUCAAGGUGAGCGGACCAGAUUUCCCAUCCACCCUCACGGCCUCACCCCCAGCUCCCUCGGCCCUCGCAGCGACGGGCUGCCGGCGCUACUACGCCCCCGUCAUCCCGCUGCGCCCGACGGCGGCCAACGCUCGGCCAGCCGCGCCCGCACCCAACAGCGGGCGCUCCGCCCCAGUCUUCCCUCCACGCGCGACGGCCGGCGCUCCCUUAUUUUCAGCCCCAGUCGUGUUGAAAUCCUAGCUCCGAAAUUCUUUCACCGUUGCCGGCCGGCGAGGAGAGGACGUAGAGAAGGAGAGAGAUGCCACACCGAGCGAGGCCGAUGACGGGGCUGCUGGUGUUCAUGGGCGUGAAUCUGGUGCUCGUUAACACCAUCUCCCCCGUCUACGACUUCGUCUGCUUCCUCCCCUACUGGGAACGCAGGGUUUGGUGGGAGGUAAAUCCACAUGAGUGAAGAUGUUGGUUCUGUUAACCAUGCUCUGAUCCGUGAUUAUCAAAUGGAGCAAUUUGGCGAAGAGUUAAAGCAGUCCUCAUAGGAAGUCGUCAAAUUGAUAAUUUGGAUUGCUUUCUUAUGUGAUAUCAUGGGACUACAUAAUUUUGCAUUUUACUUAUUUUGUAUGUUGGGACUUCCGUUUGCCUGAUUAAUCUUAGCAAAAAUGUUUGUGCGGGUAUUAGCCAUGGGCUGUACAUAGUCAGUAAUUGUAAAUUUUUAAAGAUGAGCUAUUUCUUUGGCUA